UCUGCAUCGGACUGUAGGGGUACAGUGAUCAGGUUACGAUGGAUUUCUCUAGUAACAGCCUCGUAGCUUGAUCACCAUCUCCCUAUGAUUCAGAUUACAGCUGGUUUGCUUACUCCUC
rnacentral:miRNA from 11 species